rfam:Populus trichocarpa scaffold_73_contig_10, whole genome shotgun sequence.
UCUAGAACUCUAGAUAUCAGCUGAACACUAAACAGUGUCUGGGCUGCAGGAUAAAUUUUGACUUCUCUGUUGUUGCUACAAUUUGAACUUGAAAACGGUCCUUUUGAAUCUUGGACUCUUCAUGAAAGUUUUAGGCCUAUAUCUUAGCUUUCCAUA